GUCAUCUACGCAGCAGAGCACAUUCGUGCCCUUCCUGUGCCAGGCGGUGGUCAUCCUCACCCGCUGUCACACUGAGGCCGUGAUGAACAACUUCUCCCGGCCGCCUGGACCCACAGACAGUGAGACGUGGAAGAGAAUAAGAGAGUUCUGCCUUCAACGGUGGAGCCGGUAGAAGAAAAAGGAAGAAAAAGAAAAGGAAACGAA